GCUCACUAGGAUAAGUUGGUUGGAGAGCCCAACGGUUUCUGCAUGCAGAAAGGGACGGUGAUUUUAUUCCCGGUCUGCCUGCAGACACGAAAGAUGCACUUCUGAAAACAGACGCACAGACAGAUACCAGUCACAUAGCCGGCUAGAGUUUGCCAGUAUGCCUCCCAUAAGGACAUUUACGAAAAACCGAGAUUGGAAAUAAGAGCGGGGGUCAGGGUGAAACGGACCUUUGGGGGCUUUUUCUCUUUCCUUCUCUUCUCUUAUAAAAGGAAAGAGAGAGACGAUAAAAUAAUCCCCAUAAAACAUAUUAGGCCGAAGCCCGAAUUAGGCAACUUGUUUGUCUAAUUCCAGAGUUGGUGGAGUGAACUAGGCGGAACUAUAUAUAAAUCUUUUUUCUUUUCUCUAAAUUUCUUUUCAUUUUUUUUUCUUUUCUUUUUUUCCUUUUCACUGACGGACGUAUUUCUUUGAUGGACGCACUUCCUUAGCAGAACAGCGGCUCACUGAGGUUUAUAGGUAAAAAGUUUAAAGCCCGGAGGGAUCUCACGUAAGACGUCGAGGUCUAAUUUUAUACACUGUGUGAACGGAAGGUGUGAAUAAUUGAUGCAUGUGGACUAGAAAAUUGAAUCCAGAAAUACUUCGUUAGCACCAGAAGGAAGAAACAAAACUUUUGGAUCUGAUUAGACAAACCAAGUUCAAUUUUAGUAACUAUUUUUCUGACAAGGAUUCUGAACAGGAACAGGUGGAGCAAAACGGGGCUCAGGGAGGUGAGCAGGCACUCGACACUUCAGAGGCAUGCACGCGGAGGAGGACUACCAGAUGUACCAAUACGCACAGGCAGCAGCGUUUGCUGGAGUACGUGGCAGAGAGAGGGGCAGAGGAUACGAUCAAAACGACAGGUAUAUCACUUGCUGGGUCUGCGGACGAAUGGGACAUAGAGCAAAGUGGUGUCAAAACGGUUAUCCUACACACCGUUCGCAGUCCCAGAGGAGUGAACUGAGAGAGGGACAGAGAGGCCAGUGCCGCAAGCCGCCCCACCCCCAGCAAUACUAGGGAGGCUGGGAUCCCACUAGUUGUGUAGUUAUGAAGGUAGUUUUUUUUUUUUUUGAAAUUUCCAUCAGCAGUGAUAGAUAUUUUGAUUGACGGCAGUAACUGUCCUUUUAUGGUUGAUACGGGGGCCAGAUACAGCACCCUGAAUCUUUAUGUGCUCACCUCUCAAAAAACUACACAAAUAAAGGGAUUUUCAGAAGAAAAAAAAACAA